rnacentral:rRNA from 1 species
CCUACGGGUGGCUGCAGUGAGGAAUAUUGGACAAUGGAGGCAACUCUGAUCCAGCCAUGCCGCGUGCAGGAAGACGGCCCUACGGGUUGUAAACUGCUUUUAUACAGGAAGAAUUGUACCUACGUGUAGGUAUUUGACGGUACUGUAAGAAUAAGGAUCGGCUAACUCCGUGCCAGCAGCCGCGGUAAUACGGAGGAUCCAAGCGUUAUCCGGAAUUAUUGGGUUUAAAGGGUCCGUAGGCGGUUUUUUAAGUCAGAGGUGAAAUCCUGCAGCUCAACUGUAGCAUUGCCUUUGAUACUGAAAGACUUGAGUUAUUAUGAAGUAGUUAGAAUGUGUAGUGUAGCGGUGAAAUGCAUAGAUAUUACACAGAAUACCGAUUGCGAAAGCAGAUUACUAAUAAUAUACUGACGCUGAGGGACGAAAGCGUGGGUAGCGAACAGGAUUAGAUACCCGAGUAGUC